AUUGAACGCUGGCGGCAUGCCUUACACAUGCAAGUCGAACGGCAGCACGGGAGCAAUCCUGGCGGCGAGUGGCGAACGGGUGAGUAAUGCAUCGGAACGUGCCCAGUCGUGGGGGAUAACUGCUCGAAAGAGCGGCUAAUACCGCAUACGACCUGAGGGUGAAAGCGGGGGACCGUAAGGCCUCGCGCGAUUGGAGCGGCCGAUGACAGAUUAGGUAGGUGGUGGGGUAAAGGCCUACCAAGCCUGCGAUCUGUAGUUGGUCUGAGAGGACGACCAGCCACACUGGGACUGAGACACGGCCCAGACUCCUACGGGAGGCAGCAGUGGGGAAUUUUGGACAAUGGGCGCAAGCCUGAUCCAGCAAUGCCGCGUGCAGGAAGAAGGCCUUCGGGUUGUAAACUGCUUUUGUCAGGGAAGAAAUCCUCUGGGCUAAUACCUCGGGGGGAUGACGGUACCUGAAGAAUAAGCACCGGCUAACUACGUGCCAGCCGCCGCCGUAACAC
rnacentral:rRNA from 1 species